rnacentral:rRNA from 1 species
GAUGAACGCUGGCGGCGUGCUAACACAUGCAAGUCGACGGAGAUUACAGACGGAAGUUUUGGAUGGAAGACUGUAAUUCUUAGUGGCGGACGGGUAGUAACGCGUGGGCAACCUGCCCUAUACAGGGGGAUAGCAGCUGGAAACGGCUGGUAAGACCGCAUAAGUCGGCGAGACCGCAUGGUUUUGUCGGGAAAUGAGCAAUCAGGUAUAGGAUGGGCCCGCGUCCGAUUAGCCAGUUGGCAGGGUAAAAGCCUACCAAAGCAACGAUCGGUAGCCGACUGAGAGGUCGGACGGCCACAUUGGGACUGAGACACGGCCCAAACUCCUACGGGAGGCAGCAGUGGGGGAUAUUGCACAAUGGAGGAAACUUGAUGCAGCGACGCCGCGUGAGUGAAGAAGUAUUUCGGUAUGUAAAGCUCUAUCAGCAGGGAAGAUGAACGGUACCUGACUAAGAAGCCCGGCUAAACG